UUAAAAUGACUGUAGAGUCUUUCUGCUAGUGAUGGCUUCUGAUUACAGGAACUUGCCACCAGCUGUACCCAAGAGCAUGAGACCCAGUGGCCAUCUCAGCAGGAGCCCUGACCCCACUGAUGAGUGUUCCACUACAAUCUCAGCACCUCUUCUUUUCCUACCUCAGCAUCUAGAAGUUGGCAGAAUGGGAUGCGAUAUCCAACUGUUAAUAUACACUACAGUGAAGCAUUUACUGAAAAUGAUUUGGUAUCCUAGGGUCUAGGACUCCACUUUCACAUCAUAUUUGAAGAAAAGAAAGAAAAUUAUUUUGUAUUUUAACAAUUGUGUGCCACAUUUUACAAUAUUUAAUUUUAGUUGAGAAACACCAGAUGCCUGAAAACUACAAAGGAAAUGUGGGAAAUUAAGCAAACAGGUCAACAAAUCACUCACCUUUAAGAAUUGACCAGUUUCUACAAGGGAACUGAAUAGUUGAAUAUUGAAGUAAGAUAAGACAAGACUAUAUUCAAUCAAGUUUCUAAGAAUGAUCAUCUGAACUCCACAUGAUUUUGUUUACUGUAAUGUAUAUGCCCCUUUGGUAAGCAGUAGCCUAGAGGAACUAUCACUUAUUUGGUUAAGUACCAGAAGUACCUGUCAAAAUUUCCAUUACAAUAAAUUGUACUAAAAGCUAAUAUUUAACAUAUGAUUUUCCAACUUA
rnacentral:lncRNA from 1 species